rnacentral:rRNA from 1 species
GACGAACGCUGGCGGCGUGCCUAAUACAUGCAAGUCGAACGAGUGGCGGACGGGUGAGUAACACGUGGGUAACCUACCCAUCAGAGGGGGAUAACACUUGGAAACUGGGUCUAAUACCGGAUAGUGUGGGAUGGGCCCGCGGCCUAUCAGCUUGUUGGUGGGGUAAUGGCUACCAAGGCGCGACGGGUAGCCGGCCUGAGAGGGUGUACGGCCACAUUGGGACUGAGACACGGCCCAGACUCCUACGGGAGGCAGCAGUGGGGAAUAUUGCACAAUGGGCGCAAGCCUGAUGCAGCCAUGCCGCGUGGAUGAAGAAGGCCUUAGGGUUGUAAAGUACUUUCAGCGGGGAGGCGUUACCCGCAGAAGAAGCACCGGCUAACUCCGUGCCAGCAGCCGCGGUAAUAC